UACCAUGGACAGAAGGCACUUA
rnacentral:miRNA from 1 species